GGGACUGAUUUGGUUUCGACGGGAUAGGGUGAACCUAGACGGCAAGCAGGUGGCAACCUUUCAUGCACAGUUAAAUAUAACUGACAACAAUAAUUAUAAUUUCGCAUACGCUGCUUAAUUAGUAAGACUGUGCGGUUCCUUCCAUUUCUUUUCCUACGGGAUUUGUUAGGGACUUAUAUUAGUAGGAUAUAUUCUUAUUGAGCCUGAAGUAAGAAUGAAUUUAAGGCUAGUCGAAUGGAUGUAUUCGUUCAUUAAUUGUCCAUUCGGCGAAUGUGGAUAGUGAACUAAGCUUGUAGAAGUCUAGUAUUCCUCUAUUUCGGACAGGAGUUCGAUUCUCCUCAGUUCCACCA
rnacentral:tmRNA from 1 species